CGGAGGUGCGAGCGUUGUCCGGAUUAUGGUUAAGGUGCGUAGGCGGCCGUUAAGUCCGGUGAAGCCGUUGCUCAACAACGGAACUGCCUGGAUACUGGACGGCUUGAGUACAGACGAGGUUGGCGGAAUGGACUGAGUAGCGGUGAAUGCAUAGAUACAGUCCAGAACCCCGAUUGCGAAGGCAGCUGACUAGGCUGUUACUGACGCUGAGGCACGAAGCGUGGGAGCGAACAGGAUU
rnacentral:rRNA from 1 species